rnacentral:lncRNA from 1 species
UAAAAUCCCAAGAUGAGUAGGAAACCUAAAGCAACCAAGAGUUUCAUAAUUUAUAAGAAACAAUAUUUCAAGUCUCAUAAAAUUAAGGAUCAAUAUCGGAUUUCCUUUUGGUUUUGUGUAAUUCUCUGUGGACAGCAAGUUGAGUUAGCUAAGCUGUGAUUUUGUAUUACUGUAAUGAUCCGGCAGGUUGUUUUGAGUUACGUCCGAUUCGGUAGUUUGAGGGCUCGAGCAGCUUCACAUUAUGUAUAUCGACUUGUGUGCAUGGUUGGAUUCAGUUUUCGGAUGAAUCGGAGUUGAACUGGAAGAAGGAACCUAGUUUUAGAAGUUUAACCAGUGAAAAUUUACCAGGAAUUGGAACUUUGAGUAAACGGCCUCGGAAUGGGUCAUGGGUGAUCCCAACUGCUUCGUAUGGUGAUUCUGGACUUUGCGCGUGUCCGAAUUCGGAUUUGGAAGUACGUUGGAUAAAUUGAGGCAUUUCGGCGAAAGUUGGAAAAGUUGAAGUUUGGAAAAUGGAGAAGUUUGACCCACAAUUGACUUUU